rnacentral:rRNA from 1 species
AGAGUUUGAUCCUGGCUCAGGAUGAACGCUAGCUACAGGCUUAACACAUGCAAGUCGAGGGGCAGCAUGGUCUUAGCUUGCUAAGGCCGAUGGCGACCGGCGCACGGGUGAGUAACACGUAUCCAACCUGCCGUCUACUCUUGGACAGCCUUCUGAAAGGAAGAUUAAUACAAGAUGGCAUCAUGAGUCCGCAUGUUCACAUGAUUAAAGGUAUUCCGGUAGACGAUGGGGAUGCGUUCCAUUAGAUAGUAGGCGGGGUAACGGCCCACCUAGUCUUCGAUGGAUAGGGGUUCUGAGAGGAAGGUCCCCCACAUUGGAACUGAGACACGGUCCAAACUCCUACGGGAGGCAGCAGUGAGGAAUAUUGGUCAAUGGGCGAGAGCCUGAACCAGCCAAGUAGCGUGAAGGAUGACUGCCCUAUGGGUUGUAAACUUCUUUUAUAAAGGAAUAAAGUCGGGUAUGGAUACCCGUUUGCAUGUACUUUAUGAAUAAGGAUCGGCUAACUCCGUGCCAGCAGCCGCGGUAAUACGGAGGAUCCGAGCGUUAUCCGGAUUUAUUGGGUUUAAAGGGAGCGUAGGCGGAUGCUUAAGUCAGUUGUGAAAGUUUGCGGCUCAACCGUAAAAUUGCAGUUGAUACUGGGUGUCUUGAGUACAGUAGAGGCAGGCGGAAUUCGUGGUGUAGCGGUGAAAUGCUUAGAUAUCACGAAGAACUCCGAUUGCGAAGGCAGCCUGCUAAGCUGCAACUGACAUUGAGGCUCGAAAGUGUGGGUAUCAAACAGGAUUAGAUACCCUGGUAGUCCACACGGUAAACGAUGAAUACUCGCUGUUUGCGAUAUACGGCAAGCGGCCAAGCGAAAGCGUUAAGUAUUCCACCUGGGGAGUACGCCGGCAACGGUGAAACUCAAAGGAAUUGACGGGGGCCCGCACAAGCGGAGGAACAUGUGGUUUAA